CUCUCUCUCUCUCUCUCUCUGUUCAAAAUUCAACUAAAAACAAAAAUAAUGCGCAAUAUUAUGACAAAUUGUGCGUUGUUUCAAACUCCAAAUUAACCUGAUUAGUUCACGCAAAUAUAUCGCAAAUGAAUGCCUCUGCUAUCUACUUUCAGCUGAUAAUCGACAGGACAUAGAAGUUCCACGUUCCCAGAGGCGAUGUAAUGCAAACAACGUGAAAAGACAAGUGUAUUAGUUACAGUAGCACUAUAUAUCGAUUUUUCGGAGACACGUAGCACGAUGUGUCGAAUGAGUCAAUCUCCGCACCUAUCACGCGUAGCUGUUCCCCGGAUCCUGCUGCAUUAUUCAUGCUACGUCGCUACGCGUGUAUUAAAUCUGUCUUGCGCAUUAGCAUAAUGCGCAACAGGAUACAGGAUCUCGAGCGGAUAUCGAUGGGUCGUCGAAUCAGCCAAGUUAGACAGGAAAGAAUGAAAUUGCCAUUAAUUGCACACGCCCUCGUGUGUUGCGUCAUAAAUGCGGGAAAAAAAGCGUGUCGUCCUUCGACAGCUCGACAGCUAUACGUCAACCCUGUACCUAAUUGUCGGCGAGGAUUACAACGAUAUGCUCACCUUUUUCUUCCGGUGGCAAGUCGUCCUGGGACUCAUGAUCGUGGCAAGGAUCAGGACUAGGCGCGUCGGUGGUCGAUCCUCCUCCAGGGCAUCCUUCUCCUUUCGCCGGGACCCAUAAUUGCUGACCGGAAUAAAUGAAAGUACUUCCGAGCCUGUUCAAUUUGCUCAGCUCGGACGGCGUCGUAUCGAAUCGCGCCGCCACCGACGUAAGUGUGUCUCUGUCGCCCACCUGUAAUUACGAAGGCAAACAUGUUAUUAAGCAUCUCAAUGGGAAACGUGAUCCUUCGAAAGAAUUACUUUCUUCGCAUGUCUAACGUCUUUUCUGUGCAAGCAAAUGGUCAUUUCUUCGCCGCAUUUGCAAAGGCUAGUUCGAUUCAUCGAAUAAUAAUUAAAAUAGAUGAUCAGCAAAAGUGAUUUGAUUCAUUAUUGUGCGUCUCGAAGGAAUAAGUAAAUGUGGUAUUUCUAGCGAAAUAUGUUAGGUAUUUUGAAAAAUAAAUAUGCGUAUAUUUAUUUAA